AUGCCCGCAGGAUGCGAGCGAAAGACCCGCCAAAGGGACGCCGAGGGGGCGCAGUUGGGGCGCGGAGGAAAUGCCCUUCAGGAGUCUGAGAGCAUGCACCAGACCCAGAAGAAAGAGAGACCCUCUGCUGCCUCUACAGGAGCCACAUCAGGAUGGUGGUACUGCCCGCAGCCAUCGUACAAUGGGAGACCCAACAUCUGGCUCAGCACAUCCUCAACAGCCAGCCAGUUGAGAAUGGCCAUGUCCCGUUUGUCUCCAAGACAACUGCAGGACUUGGACAGUCAUCAGAUCACACCCUUGAUGGAGAAGGGCUUGGUGACCAUCCAUCCAAACGCUUCAACUGAAGCCCAAGGCUACAUGGCUGACUGACCUCGAUGCUGGACUUGAACCCUAGACUCCUCAUACCCGAGCCAGUACCACUUGCCAUCAUCAUGCAGCCCCUCUGGAUCUCAGUAUUUUCAUCUAACCAUAACUGUUUGGCCUUCCUCCCAGCUGAAGUGGAAUGAAAAGUUGGCUGAAAAAGGCUUUGGAAAGUUAAAACCACAAUAUGAGUGAUUGCAGCAUUAUUGCAGUUUUGUGAGCAGAAGCUGGGGAGCCCAUGGAGUUCCUCAAGAAUGGAAAGUUGGCUGAAAAAGCCUGGGGAGCAGGGAUGGAGGGUUGACAACCAAUUCUUCCACCACUUUAUAUACAAUCUUAGCUAGUCAGAAAACAACCUAAGCAAUGUCUAGUAAACUCGAGGUACAAAUCUCAAAUGCAGCCAUUUCUCUUCUGGAAAUGUACCCCUCAGUUAUAUCUGCACAGAUAUGUCUUUGUACCAGACUGUUCAUUGCAGCUUUGUCUGUAAUAACGAAGACUGAAAACAACCUAAAUGUCUAUCAUUAGGGGAUGGAGUGAGUAAACUGUGGUACCCAGGCAAAGAAUGAAGUAGAUUUAUAUGCAUACACAAAUGCAGUCGAUUCAUGUGAGGAUAAAUCUAUGCAGGAUAGAUUGUUAAAAACAAGUUGUAUAUGGAACGGUAGAGAUACUAUGUUCCUGCUUAUGCCCAAGAAAAGAAGGUACAUGUAAAGCAUGGGAAUUUCUGAAUGACACACAAAUUCUGUUAAUAGUAGUUGCCUCCAGGCUGGGAGACAGGUGGCUUCCUGUAAAGAAGCCACUUUAUAAUGAAAAGUUUGCUUUUCAUUAUAUCCCUAUUUUAGCAUAUGUAUAUGUUCCACUUUUUCAGUUAAAUGGAGUUUAAAAAAAAAAAGAAGAAGAAGAAGAAAAAGAAGAGGAAGAAGAAAGAAGAAGCAGAAGCAGCCAGUCUAGAAAAAUAACUGCUUGGAAAUAACCUCAUUUCUGCACUCGAUCCACCUUCUGCCUUCCCAGUCUUGACCCUGCUCCCUUGCACAGCUCUGACCCACACCAGCCAAUAAGUCACAGCUUCCACCAUAGCUACAAGCCUUGGGGGCAGCUGCCCUUCAUUCUACAAGAACCAAGGCCUCCCUGUCAUGCGCAGCCGCAAGAAGACUCAAGGGUCCUCAUACAAGGAUCUCAGAUGCUUGGAAAAGGGGCAUUUUCCCAGGUGAUGCCCUUUGAGCAAGCCAAGGGGCUUGGUUUCCUAUUAAGCCCAUGGAAGGAGUGGCAGUUAAACACCAAGCUUCAAAGAGUUGAGGAUUUUCAAACAUCGCUUUUGGGGAAUCCGCAGCUUUUAUUGGAGGUGUCAGACAUUAACAAGGGCUCCGCAUCAUUCCCAGCCUGCAGAGCCCUCUCUCCCUCUCUUCUCCGCCCCCACUCACUCCAGCAACCAGCUUCCCCACUUUGAUGAAUCAGGAGAGGCUGAGAGUUCAGGAGGGUAUUUCUGUCCCACUCUUAGCCCACCUUCUCCCCCAUUUGCUUCAAGAAGGUAUGGAAGCUGAAAGGACACAAGGCGGGGGAGGUGGGGGAGAAAAACCAAGGGAAGGGCUGGGGAGCAGGUUCAGAUAGAGGCAAAAGAAUCCAACCUUGCUUACCUGCUCCUUUGGAAACAGUUUCAUGGCAAAGAAUUAGAAAUUCUGGAGCCGACCUUAUGCCAGCUGGGAUGAAACCCUCAACGCACAAUCGCUCCCUCUGGGCAAUGAUCAUCUUCUUGGAUAUUUUGAGAUCAUUAAUGGAAGGAGUUGUAGGAGCUCCAUUUUGUCCAAAUAUGUAGCUACAUACGAGAUUUCCUUGACCACAUUUCCAAUGCUGGCUGAGUUCCCAGCCUUAAGAUGUACCUAAGAUGCACCUUCUAAUUCACCUGGAACAGACAACACGCUCAGAAGUAUUUGGAAUGGAUGUAUGCAUUCCUGUAUCCAUGAAUGAAUGAAUGAAUGAAUGAAUGAACGAAUGAAUGAACGACGCUGUUUUAUCCUUAUCUUUUUUACCAAAUGAAGAUAUGAGAUUAGAUGUUAGAAAUUAGACACCGGAUUAGAUUCAACACUAGAAAUUAUUCUUGUUGGUUGGGGAUUGGAAUCUCUGAAAAUACUUUACCAUGAGUUCUUAAAGGAGAGGUCCCCUGUCCUACGCAU
rnacentral:lncRNA from 1 species